GCAGAAACAAAUUAUCGCUUUGUUUUUUAGAUUGUGUUAACGAGCGUGGGGAUGUAGAAUGUAAAAAUCUCGCUCAUAUCUGUGAAAGUCACGCUGCCGUUAUGAAGAUCAAAUGUGCGAAAAGUUGCGGAUUUUGUAAAAGCAAGUAUUGCGUGAACGUUUUCAAAUAAUAUAUUUACAUCAGAUUAUUUCUUAAUUUCCCUCGGUUUUAUUCACCGAUAAUCACCUCAACUUCGGCGAAUAAUUGUUAAUUGAUAUUUCGAAAUUUGCGAUAAGGUAGCCUACGUCCUCUCAUACAUGUUAUCUCAGCCAACAGCUGUCGUGUACAGCAGGCUUAAUGUGUGCUUCACACUUUCUGAAUUAUUUUCAUCCUUUACGCUAUUAUUUUUAGAAAUGGAAAGAAAACCUGAGUUACAUUGGCAAAUCGGCACGUGGUUGGAGGUACAAGAUACUUCAUAUUUGCUUAUGCUUCUACGUGAGGAUUGUUGUAUUCAUUUUGUUAUUUUUUAAAUUAACUCUAGUGUCGCGGAGGCUUUCGGAGGCGUUCAGUGAAAUGUUUCUACAAGCUCAAUGGUCAUGAUAACCUUGUUCAAAAUAAGUACUGCAGACGUGUGCUGGGAGACGAACCCACAAAGUACAAGGAUUGCCCGUUAGGUGCUUGACUUUACACAAUCAAAUUUAUUUGAUUAAAAUGUGUGACAGUAUUAACCUCAUUAAAUUUUUUUAGAUAAUUACUCAAAACGCAAGUUGACUUUCAGUCAAAUUUUUAUUCUAACUUACUUUAGCUCGUGUUUAUUGUAAACAUUUUUUACUAACGAUUAAACGAUAAUCGAUAUACUAUCGGUUAUAACCCGAUAAUCGACAAGUUAAAACUUGUGUGAACGUUACGAGACAAUAAUUAUUUAUAUUUAUUGUAACAGUUGUUGUAAUAUGCAGGUUAAGUAUCUUUCAAACAGAAUGUUUACUCUGGUUUGUGAUUAUCUGUUCAUCGAAUUUCAUUAUUCUAUUUAUCAUAUUUUGUACCACCCCAGGGAUCGCAGAGGUAGUAGGGGUGGGGGGGGAGCAUACCGAGUUAAAGACAAAAAAGGUAAUUGAUAUGUAAGGUGAAUAUAAUCUGACAACAAUUAGCUAGCGCCCUGGCUUUGUUCAUAACGAUCGUGCCCCCUCCUGACCCUCUCCCCACUUCCAAACAGACUCCGUGGUCAUUGUAUCCACAUUGUAAACCUUACUAGUAAUAACUAGCGAUGCCUGCGGUAGAGGCUAAGUGAAAACUUGACUAGUGAUGGGCGACUACCGAUUACGGAGUAAUCGAUACCGCUUGAUACCAGGCUACUACCGGAAGUAAUCGAUACCAGAGUGGUAUCGAAAUAUGUUUGAUUACUCGCUGAAAUUACUAUAAUUAUUAUAAAGGUUACUUUUCAGCAGUAUUUAAAAUAAAAAUCUGCAUAUUUUGCAAGUGUG